rnacentral:rRNA from 1 species
GACGAACGCUGGCGGCGCGCCUAACACAUGCAAGUCGAACGGAGCUGAGAGAAGCUUGCUUUUCUUAGCUUAGUGGCGAACGGGUGAGUAACGCGUGAGUAACCUGCCCUGGAGUGGGGGACAACAGUUGGAAACGACUGCUAAUACCGCAUAAGCCCACGAUCCGGCAUCGGAUUGAGGGAAAAGGAUUUAUUCGCUUCAGGAUGGACUCGCGUCCAAUUAGCUAGUUGGUGAGGUAACGGCCCACCAAGGCGACGAUUGGUAGCCGGACUGAGAGGUUGAACGGCCACAUUGGGACUGAGACACGGCCCAGACUCCUACGGGAGGCAGGAGUGGGGGAUAUUGCACAAUGGGGGAAACCCUGAUGCAGCGACGCCGCGUGGAGGAAGAAGGUUUUCGGAUUGUAAACUCCUGUCGUUAGGGACGAUAAUGACGGUACCUAACAAGAAAGCACCGGCUAACUACGUG